rnacentral:rRNA from 1 species
GACGAACGCUGGCGGCGUGCUUAACACAUGCAAGUCGAACGGGCCCGCCCCUGUUUUUGGGGGUGGGUUGAGUGGCGAACGGGUGAGUAUCACGUGAGUAACCUGCCCCCUGCUCCUGGAUAACUGCUUGAAAGGGCGGCUAAUACGGGGUGUGCCGGCUGGUCCGCAUGGGCCUGGUCGGGAUAGUUUCAUCUUCGGGUGUUUCGGUGGGGGAGGGGCUCGGGGCCUAUCAGCUUGUUGGUGGGGUGAUGGCCCACCAAGGGGGUGACGGGUAGCCGGCCUGAGAGGGUGGGCGGCCACACUGGGACUGAGACACGGCCCAGACUCCUGCGGGAGGCAGCAGUGGGGGGUAUUGCACAAUGGGCGGAAGCCUGAUGCAGCGACGUCGCGUGAGGGAUGGAGGCCUUCGGGUUGUGAACCUCUUUCUCCGGUGGUGAAGGCCCUGUCCGUUGCGGCGGGGUUGACGGUAGCCGGGUAUGAAGCGCCGGCUAACUACGUG